GACGAACGCUGGCGGCGUGCUUAACACAUGCAAGUCGAACGGAAAGGCCCAGCUUGCUGGGUACUCGAGUGGCGAACGGUGAGUAACACGUGGGUGAUCUGCCCCAAACUUCGGGAUAAGCCUGGGAAACUGGGUCUAAUACCGGAUAUGACCUGCUCCUGCAUGGGGGUUGGUGGAAAGCUUUUGCGGUUUGGGAUGGGCCCGCGGCCUAUCAGCUUGUUGGUGGGGUAAUGGCCUACCAAGGCGACGACGGGUAGCCGACCUGAGAGGGUGAUCGGCCACACUGGGACUGAGACACGGCCCAGACUCCUACGGGAGGCAGCAGUGGGGAAUAUUGCACAAUGGGCGCAAGCCUGAUGCAGCGACGCCGCGUGAGGGAUGACGGCCUUCGGUUGUAAACCUCUUUCGCCAGGGACGAAGCGCAAGUGACGGUACCUGGAG
rnacentral:rRNA from 1 species